rnacentral:rRNA from 1 species
AUGGCGGUGACUGGGCGAGAGGGUGACGACGACGUCGACCACUACGAGGUGCUCCGCCUCCCGUCCGGCGAGGAAGGCGCGGCGCUGAGCGUCGAGCGGAUCGACAAGGCCUACCGGAAGCAGUCGCGUCUCCGCCACCCCGACAAGCGCCCCGACGACCCCGACGCCACCGCCGACUUCCAGAGCCUCGCCAGCUCGUACGAGAUCCUCCGCAAUGAGUCCCUGCGCCGCCAGUUCGACGCCCGCCUCCGCGGCCGCCGCGAGGCCGCCGCCCGCGCCGCGGCGAAAGGGGUCAAGCGGCGGAAGGCCGUCUCGGACCUAGAGGAGCGCGAGCGCGCCUUUGCCGCCGGCCACGCUGCAGAGCUCGCGAAGCGAGAGGAGAAGCGGAUGGCUGCCGAUAUCCAGCGCACGCUGGAUGACCACUUCGCUCCCAACAAGUCCUGCGUCUCUGGCGUUGCUUCGACUUCGGGACAUGGAGCUCCAGAGAGCGAACCAAAAACAGACAAUGGUAAGAUCUUGAAGGUUUCAUGGGAAGGGGGUGCAGAUUACUACACUGCAGCAAAGUUGGACGAGAUUUUCACGCAAUUUGGCACGGUUGAAGACAUUGUGAUCAUGUUUAGCAAAUCAAAGAGGAAGGGCUCAGCACUUGUUGUCAUGGUUUCCAAAGAGGCAGCACGAUCUGCACUGAAGAACCAUUCUGUCUACAAUGUUUUCCCAAUCCCAUUAAGUGUUGCUCCGGUCCCAAUAAAGUGA